UGUUGAGUGUCCUUGAUUCUAAGUUCCCGAAGGAGAGGGGCCACGUCUUAUUAGAAUUUAGUAUCCCUGCGCCUGGCUGCUGGCCCGCCGUUGAUACCCAAUAAAUGUUUGUCAGCUGAACCGACUGAACUGAAAACCCCUCCAACUUGGCAGACUUUGCAAGUAUAAGGCAGCUUCUGAAAUCUCUGUGAGCAAUUUCACCCCCCCUGCUCCUUUCCACUACAUUUCUUGGAGUUCCAGUCUACACAGAAGCUGUUCAGGAUUAAUUUCCAGCCACUACGAAAGCCAUGAACUCUGGGCUCUGUCUCCUGAAUCCAGUAUGACUGCUACCUUCCACUUAGGCUGUAUUCUCAGAAUUGGUAAGUAUUGGAAAUGUCCCUUAGGAGAAAAGCUGGAU